rnacentral:rRNA from 1 species
UACGAAGGGGGCUAGCGUUGCUCGGAAUUACUGGGCGUAAAGGGCGCGUAGGCGGUUCUAUAAGUCAGGCGUGAAAUUCCUGGGCUUAACCUGGGGGCUGCGCUUGAGACUGUGGGACUUGAGGUCAGAAGAGGGUCGUGGAAUGCCGAGUGUAGAGGUGAAAUUCGUAGAUAUUCGGCGGAACACCAGUGGCGAAGGCGACUCACUGGCCCGAUACUGACGCUGAGGCGCGAAAGCGUGGGGAGCAAACAGG